GAUGAACGCUUUCUUCUUUCCUAAUACAUGCAAGUCGAGCGAACAGACGAGGAGCUUGCUCCUCUGACGUUAGCGGCGGACGGGUGAGUAACACGUGGAUAACCUACCUAUAAGACUGGGAUAACUUCGGGAAACCGGAGCUAAUACCGGAUAAUAUAUUGAACCGCAUGGUUCAAUAGUGAAAGACGGUUUUGCUGUCACUUAUAGAUGGCUCCGCGCCGCAUUAGCUAGUUGGUAAGGUAACGGCUUACCAAGGCAACGAUGCGUAGCCGACCUGAGAGGGUGAUCGGCCACACUGGAACUGAGACACGGUCCAGACUCCUACGGGAGGCAGCAGUAGGGAAUCUUCCGCAAUGGGCGAAAGCCUGACGGAGCAACGCCGCGUGAGUGAUGAAGGUCUUCGGAUCGUAAAACUCUGUUAUUAGGGAAGAACAAAUGUGUAAGUAACUAUGCACGUCUUGACGGUACCUAAUCAGAAAGCCACGGCUAACUACGUG
rnacentral:rRNA from 1 species